UACGAAGGGUGCAAACGUUGCUCGGAAUCAUUGGGCGUAAAGCGCACGUAGGCGGCUUCGCAAGUCGGUCGUGAAAUCCCUCGGCUCAACCGAGGAACGUCGAUCGAUACUGCUGUUCUUGAGGAUUGCAGAGGAGACUGGAAUUCCCGGUGUAGCGGUGAAAUGUGUAGAGAUCGGGAGGAACACCGGUGGCGAAGGCGGGUCUCUGGGCAAUUCCUGACGCUGAGGCGCGAAAGCGUGGGGAGCAAACGGG
rnacentral:rRNA from 1 species